AACGCAUCUUGCGCUCCCUGGUAUUCCGGGGAGCACGCCUGUUCGAGUGUCGUGAAAUUAUCAAGAUGUGGAUGCUUUUUUUGUUAAAGUGUUCUCAGCUUGGUUGUUGGGCUUUGCCGUGUCCCCUUUGGGGUGACGGCUGGCCUUAAAAGCAUUAGCUGAUCCUUAUACGGCAUUGGUUCUACUCAGCGUGAUAAUAAUCUGACCGCCGAGGACAUCCUUCGGGGUGGCCAAUUCUCAUUUGGGUUGCUCUCUAAUCUGGUUUAUGGGUUGCUAGUAACAAUCUGUUCCAUUUUUCAAAUUUGACCUCGAAUCAGGUGGGACUACCCGCUGAACUUAA
rnacentral:misc_RNA from 1 species